rnacentral:rRNA from 1 species
AGGACGAACGCUGGCGGCGUGCUUAACACAUGCAAGUCGAGCGGAAAGGCCCUUCGGGGUACUCGAGCGGCGAACGGGUGAGUAACACGUGAGCAACCUGCCCUUAGCUCCGGGAUAGCUCCGGGAAACCGGAAUUAAAUACCGGAUACGACCACGGCCGACAUCUGCUGUGGUGGAAAGGAUUCCGGCUAAGGAUGGGCUCGCGACCUAUCAGCUAGUUGGUGGAGUAACGGCCCACCAAGGCGACGACGGGUA